CUGUGAUCUCUGGAUCAUUUAAUCAAUGUACAUGUAGUAAUAGGUUCCUGCUGCAUGCUAUUAGCUGCCUGGGGAGAAUCACCACCCGUCAUGAUGGAUGAAUGUGGCAGUGACUCCUUCAUUCCAGCACUAAGGACCUGAUGAUGAUCCUGUUCAGGAUAAAACCAAAAGUGAGAGACAUAACAACUCAUCACUUUCAG